AUUGAACGCUGGCGGCAGGCCUAACACAUGCAAGUCGAACGGUAACAGGAAGAAGCUUGCUUCUUUGCUGACGAGUGGCGGACGGGUGAGUAAUGUCUGGGAAACUGCCUGAUGGAGGGGGAUAACUACUGGAAACGGUAGCUAAUACCGCGUAAUGUCGCAAGACCAAAGAGGGGGACCUUCGGGCCUCUUGCCAUCGGAUGUGCCCAGAUGGGCUUGGCUAGUAGGUGGGGUAACGGCUCACCUAGGCGACGAUCCGUAGCUGGUCUGAGAGGAUGACCAGCCACACUGGAACUGAGACACGGUCCAGACUCCUACGGGAGGCAGCAGUGGGGAAUAUUGCACAAUGGGCGCAAGCCUGAUGCAGCUAGGCCGCGUGUAUGAAGAAGGCCUUCGGGUUGUAAAGUACUUUCAGCGGGGAGGAAGGGAGUAAAGUUAAUACCUUUGCUCAUUGACGUUACCCGCAGAAGAAGCACCGGCUAACUCCGUG
rnacentral:rRNA from 1 species